GACGAACGCUGGCGGCGUGCCUAAUACAUGCAAGUUGAGCGCUGAAGGUUGGUACUUGUACCAACUGGAUGAGCAGCGAACGGGUGAGUAACGCGUGGGGAAUCUGCCUUUGAGCGGGGGACAACAUUUGGAAACGAAUGCUAAUACCGCAUAAAAACUUUAAACACAAGUUUUAAGUUUGAAAGAUGCAAUUGCAUCACUCAAAGAUGAUCCCGCGUUGUAUUAGCUAGUUGGUGAGGUAAAGGCUCACCAAGGCGAUGAUACAUAGCCGACCUGAGAGGGUGAUCGGCCAAAUUGGGACUGGGACACGGCCCAAACUCCUACGGGAGGCAGCAGUAGGGAAUCUUCGGCAAUGGACGAAAGUCUGACCGAGCAACGCCGCGUGAGGGAAGAAGGUUGUCGGAUCGUAAAACUCUGUUGGUAGAGAAGAACGUUGGUGAGAGUGGAAAGCUCAUCAAGUGACGGUAACUACCCAGAAAGGGACGGCUAACUACGUG
rnacentral:rRNA from 1 species